GCUGGGUGUGGUAGUGCACUCCUGUAAUCCCAGUGACUAGGGAGGCUGAAGCAGGAGGAUUGUGAGUUCAAAGCCAGCUUCAGCAAAAGUGAGGUGCUGAGCAACUUGGUGAGACCCUGUCUCUA
rnacentral:sRNA from 1 species